CCUACGGGUGGCAGCAGUGAGGAAUAUUGGUCAAUGGGCGGGAGCCUGAACCAGCCAAGUCGCGUGAGGGAUGACGGCCCUAUGGGUUGUAAACCUCUUUUGCCGGGGAGCAAAGUGCCGCACGUGUGCGGUUUGGAGAGUACCCGGAGAAAAAGCAUCGGCUAACUCCGUGCCAGCAGCCGCGGUAAUACGGAGGAUGCGAGCGUUAAUCGGAAUUACUGGGCGUAAAGCGCUCGUAGGCGGUAUGUCAAGUCAAGGGUGAAAUCCCCGCGCUCAACGUGGGAACUGCCUUUGAAACUGGCAAACUGGAGUGUGUGAGAGGAUAGUGGAAUUCCAGGUGUAGGAGUGAAAUCCGUAGAUAUCUGGAGGAACAUCAGUGGCGAAGGCGACUAUCUGGCACAUAACUGACGCUGAGGAGCGAAAGCGUGGGUAGCAAACAGGAUUAGAUACCCUUGUAGUC
rnacentral:rRNA from 1 species